UUGCACGCUGGCGGCAUGCCUUACACAUGCAAGUCGAACGGCAGCACGGACUUCGGUCUGGUGGCGAGUGGCGAACGGGUGAGUAAUGUAUCGGAACGUACCUUUCAGUGGGGGAUAACGUAGCGAAAGUUACGCUAAUACCGCAUAUUCUGUGAGCAGGAAAGCAGGGGAUCGAAAGACCUUGCGCUGAUUGAGCGGCCGAUAUCAGAUUAGCUAGUUGGUGGGGUAAAGGCCUACCAAGGCGACGAUCUGUAGCGGGUCUGAGAGGAUGAUCCGCCACACUGGAACUGAGACACGGUCCAGACUCCUACGGGAGGCAGCAGUGGGGAAUUUUGGACAAUGGGGGCAACCCUGAUCCAGCCAUGCCGCGUGAGUGAAGAAGGCCUUCGGGUUGUAAAGCUCUUUCGGCCGGGAAGAAAUCGCAUAGGCUAAUACCCUGUGUGGAUGACGGUACCGGAAGAAGAAGCACCGGCUAACUACGUG
rnacentral:rRNA from 1 species